UCGCGCAUCAGCCAUGGCGCGGUGAAUACGUUCCCGGGCCUUGUACACACCGCCCGUCAAGCCAUGGGAGCCGGGGGGUGCCUGAAGUUCGUUACCGCAAGGAUCGACCUAGGGCAAAAACUGGUGACUGGGGGCUAAGUCGUAACAAGGUACC
rnacentral:rRNA from 1 species